GGGGUUAUGACUCAGAGGUAGAGUGCUCACCUAGCAUGUGAGAGGCAGUGGGUUCGAUCCUCAGCACCA
rnacentral:tRNA from 1 species